AGAGGGAUAGCUGGGUCCAAUGGUGGUUCCAUUCCAGAUUUCCAAGGAAUCUCCAUACUGCUUUCCAUAUUGGCUGUACCAAUUUGCAGUCCCACCAGCAAU
rnacentral:pre_miRNA from 1 species